AUCCACUGUCUACAUUAUACUCAACGCACACUCCCGCCGCCAGAAUACACUAACUACAUCAAACAAUACACACACACGACCAAAUACACUCAUAAUGACCGGGACCCCAACACACACUAAUACCAUGUAAAAUAUACCCGAUACACACUCCCGCCGCCAGAAUACACGAACUAUAUCAAACAAUACACACACACGACCAAAUACACUCAUAAUGACCGGGACCCCAACACACACUAAUACCAUGUAAAAUAUACCCGAUACACACUCCCGCCGCCAGAAUACACUAAAAAUGUCAAACAAUACACACACACGACCAAAUACACUCAUAAUGACCAGGACCCCAACACACACUAAUACCAUGUAAAAUAUACCCGAUACACACUCCCGCUGCCAGAAUACACUAAUGUCAAACAAUAUACACACACGACCAAACACACUCAUAAUGACCAGGACCCCAACACACACUAAUACCAUGUAAAAUAUACCCGAUACACACUCCCGCCGCCAGAAUACACUAAAAAUGUCAAACAAUAUACACACACGACCAAAUACACUCAUAAUGACCAGGACCCCAACACACUAAUACCAUGUAAAAUAUACCCGAUACACACUCCCGCCGCCAGAAUACACAAAAAAUGUCAAACAAUAUACACACACGACCCAACACACUCAUAAUGACCGGGACCCCAACACACACUAAUACCAUGUAAAAUAUACCCGAUACACACUCCCGACGCCAGAAUACACUAUUAAUGUCAAACAAUAUACACACACGACCCAACACACUCAUAAUGACCGGGACCCCAACACACACUAAUACCAUGUAAAAUAUACCCGAUACACACUCCCGCCGCCAGAAUACACUAAUAAUGUCAAACAAUAUACACACACGACCCAACACACUCAUGUGGCUGGUAAACCAGGACCCCAACACACACUCAUGCUAUCUAAAAUAUACUCAACACACACUCCUGCCGCCAGAAUACACUUAUUACAUCAAACAAUAUACACACGGGGCAGUGGUGGCCUAGCGCUUAAGGAAGCGGCCCUGUAAUCAGAAGGUUGCCGGUUCGAAUCACGAUCCGCCAUGGUUCCACUGAGGUGCCACUGAGCAAAGCACCGUCCCCACACACUGCUCCCCAGGUGCCUGUCAUGGCUGCUCACUGCUCAUCAAGGGUGAUGGUUUGAAGCAGAGGACACAUUUUGUUGUGUCACCGUGUGCUGUGCUUCAGUUUUUCACAAUGACAUUCGCUUCAUUUUCACUUUCACACAACCAAAUACACUCGUAAUGACCUGGACCCCAACACACACUAUAACUGAUUAAUAUAUUCUCAAUAACAUACUCCUGUGAAACAUAAAAAUUACUCUGCACAUGAACAAGGAUAAAACUGAAAUCAUUUCGUUUCAUGACAGAUAUAUAUUGAUAUAUAAAUAUAUAUAUUGUCUUCCUGGAAUACAGAGCCCUCAAUAUCCAGCAUAUAUUCUUGCAAUACAAACCAAACCAAACCCAACACACACCGUUAUCUGAAAAACACACACUACUGGUGGCUAAUACACUGGACCACGCACGCCAAAAACAUCCAACACGCACAUCUGCUGGGUGCUAGAAGCCCAGUGGGUAAGACACUUACCAAUUAACCAGAAGACCAUAAAGUCACAGGUUCAAACCCCACUUACUACCAUUGUGUCCCCGAGCAAGACACUUAACCCUGAAUUGUUCCAGGGGGGGGACUGUCCCUGUAACUACUGAUUGUAUAAAAGCCAGACACAUACAACCUUAGCACAGAGAGAGCUCAGUACAAACACGUGCAGACUAGAAAUCACCCUGCACACACCUCCAGUAUGGAAACCCUAGAC
ensembl:lncRNA